rnacentral:rRNA from 1 species
GACGAACGCUGGCGGCGUGCUUAACACAUGCAAGUCGAACGGAAAGGCCCUGCUUUUGUGGGGGGCACGAGUGGCGAACGGGUGAGUAACACGUGAGUAACCUGCCCUCGACUUUGGGAUAACUUCAGGAAACUGGGGCUAAUACCGGAUAGGAGCUCCUGCUGCAUGGUGGGGGUUGGAAAGUUUCGGCGGUUGGGGAUGGACUCGCGGCUUAUCAGCUUGUUGGUGGGGUAGUGGCUUACCAAGGCUUUGACGGGUAGCCGGCCUGAGAGGGUGACCGGCCACAUUGGGACUGAGAUACGGCCCAGACGCCUACGGGAGGCAGCAGUGGGGAAUAAUGCACAAUGGGCGGAAGCCGGAUGCAGCAACGCCGCGUGCGGGAUGAAGGCCUUCGGGUUGUAAACCGCUUUCGCCUGUGACGAAGAGUGAGUGACGGUAAUGGGUAAAGAAGCACCGGCUAACUACGUG